rnacentral:rRNA from 1 species
GAUGAACGCUGGCGGCGUGCCUAAUACAUGCAAGUCGAGCGAACGGACGCGGAGCUUGCUUCGCUGACGUGAGCGGCGGACGGGUGAGUAACACGUGUAUAACCUACCUAUAAGACUGGGAUAAUUUCGGGAAACCGGAGCUAAUACCGGAUAAUAUCUUGAACCGUAGGGUUGAAUAGUGAAAGACGGUCUUGCUGUCACGUAUAGAUGCAUCUCCGCUGCAUUAGCUAGUUGGUAAGGUAACGGCUUACCAAGGCAACGAUGCGUAGCCGACGUGAGAGGGUGAUCGGCCACAUUGGAAGUGAGCCGCGGACCAUGCUACUACGAGAGGCAGCAGUAGGGAAUCGUAGGCAAUGGGCGAAAGCAUUGCAGAGCAACGGCGAGUGAGUGGUGACGAUCUUCCGAUCGUGAAGCUCUGUUAUUAGGGGUGAACAUAUGUGUAAGUAACUGUGCAGAGCUUGACGGUAACUAAUCAGAAAGCCACGGCUAACUACGUG